rnacentral:precursor_RNA from 1 species
UGAGAUGCUGAGUAUCACCAUUUGUACAUGAGUUGUCUCUCAUGUCUAGACCAUUUGUGAGAAGGGAGUUUUUGUUUACACCAAUACCCCCCAGUCUCUAAAUUUGUAAGAAGUAUUAUGCUCAAUUAAGGAACAUAGCUAGUUCGACAUACCAUACUACCCUUUUUAAAACUAUCCUAUAUGUUUGAUGCUAGCAUAGCGUAAUUUUGUGUUCUCAUGGUGCAGCAGGGUUAGUUUAUUGUGUACCUCUAGAUAUAUAUUCUCUUGCUGCGUAGGGUUCCCAAGCUGCCAAAAACUUUUAAAAAUUAGUGAUCUGUUCCCCAAACCCCCAUUCAAUAAGAAAGGUCUACCUGUAGCUCACAGUCACAGCUAUUAGAGCUGUCCUUGCUUCUUUGGGUUUACUGUUUUAGUUAAUUAGUUACCCUAUGAAAGUCUGAUCCUUCAGAAGUUAGGUAUAGAAGUAAGUCGAUUAAGUUCAUUCAUGACUUUUCCAGAUGUUGCAUACAUAACUUUUUUUAUUUGUAUUCGAACUAGUCCAAGCCGAUUCUCAAAAUCAUAUAAAAUCAUUUACACCUUGGUCAUGGUAGCUAAGAAUAUUGUAUCUAAAAUUGGGGAGUGGGGAGAUGUUUGGUUAUAUUCCCUUCUCAUCGAUGGUCUAGAUGUGCGAGGUGACUCUCAUGGAGGUAAAGAACAAUGGUGAUUUUGUGAAGAACCCAACGUAAUGGUAAUUCCUAAAAAGGUUAGAAGUUUUUUCAGCUUGUUGUAUUGCUAAAAUGGGGUUGAUGUACUCAACGACAUCCAAGUGUACUUGAGUGAGCUUUUUU